GGCUGAUGGAGGAUGAGGCUGCCGGGUACCAAUGCGACUUUUCCCUCAUAUAUCCACUUCUGAAGCAUUGUGUCUCGAUUUUCCUUAACCGAGAGAUCCGCCACGUCUUUCUGCACAGCCUGUGCAAAAGAAUACCACACGAGACUUCAAGAUCAAGACUGAGAUGAGGUUAAGAAAGAGAUGGACAGCACUGAGGAGUUAAAGUGGAUGAGACUGAGGUUACCAUCACAGCUCCUUGUCCUGCCCUGAGAGAUCAAGACAGAGAUGAGGUUAAGUAAUAGUAGAACGCUGAAGGUUUAGAGUGAACAAGACAGGGGUUACCAUCACAGCUCCUCCUUGUCUUGGCCUGAGAGUUUGACCACACAGCAGGACACUUGGUCUGGGGUUCUGGCACUAUGCAAGAAAUAUUAGUCAAACAAUCCUUCAGUCAAUGCUUGUACUGGAGGGAAGGUUUAAAGGAUAUAAGUAUUCACUGUUUUUCUUAUAUAUUUCUAUGAUAAUUUUAUACUACUCCAGAGCUUAGUGUCUUAUGUAGUCAAGCAAUUCAAUAAUGAACUCUUGUACUGGAGGGAAGGUUAAGGAAGAGAAGUAUAUUUAUUUUCUUAUUCUUAUCUUAAUUUCAUACAUAACCCCAUAUCUUAGUGUCUUGUAUAGUCUUUUCAUUAUCAAGAAGGAAUCACCAUAAUUUUUACUGACCUUUUCUUGAAUCACCAUAAUUUUUACUGACCUUUUUCUUUCUUUAUCCAUCAAGUCGCUAUAUAUUCAGAGACUUCUUGUGACAGAGUAUUACCCAUCCCCUGAUCUUGAUGAACAUUGACAUCCCUACCAUCACACUGCCUUUUAUUAUGGCCUCUCUGGUGAAGUGUUGAAAGAUUUGGACUUCUGACACCUCUUGAGAUUUUUUGUUAAUUCAGAAAAGGAGUCCGUUCAAGGGCAAAUAAAUAGAGAAAAUAAAACACCCCACUGACACCAUUCAUAGCCAGAUCCUUAUCCAAAAUAUUAACAAUAGCCUCAGUCUUGAGUACAGUGAUUUUCCUCAUAACUUGGGUUCUCAGUUAUCUUUAUAUUUAUCCACCUUGUUUUUAUCCAUCUUGGCCCUCGUUUCUGUUCUUUUAAUGUCUUUCAGAAGCGGCGAGAAAGAGACAGCAGCAGGAAGAGGAGGUCAGGGCACGUGUGAGGGUGACAGCAGGGCAAGAAGACAGCAAAGAGCCUAUGUAAUGGUAAGGUUCCAUGUAUAAGUCCCCUGUUGGGUGUGUCUGCCAAUCUGUACACAGCAUUCCAAUUAGUACUCAUUAGAUCAAGGCAGUAGGGUGGCAAGGGUUCCUAGUGAGGGUGGAAUUGCAUGAAGAAGUCUCCUGUUGUGUGUCUGCCAAUCUGUACACAGCAUUCCAAUUCAUACUCAUUGGAUCAAGGCAGUAGGGUGGCAAGGGUUCCUAGUGAGGGUGGAAUUGCAUGAAGAAGUCUCCUGUUGUGUGUCUGCCAAUCUGUACACAGCAUUCCAAUUCAUACUCAUUGGAUCAAGGCAGUAGGGUGGCAAGGGUUCCUAGUGAGGGUGGAAUUGCAUGAAGAAAUCUCCUGUUGGGUGUGUCUGCCAAUCUGUACACAGCAUUCCAUUUAGUACUCAUUAAGAUACAAGGGAACAAGUACUCUGGAAAACCUACGAAGUAAAUAUUUAAAGUCAGUCUGAUAUUUAAACAUUUUGAUAAUAGUAUGCCUUUUCUCAAUGUUCAGAUUUUGCCUUAGAGAAGAUGGAGGAAGUUAUUAAGUUUAUACCUUGUACCUUGGGAUGGUUUAUGUAAGUCUGGAGGCAUUAUUUUUAUAAGAGGCAAAUCAGGUAGAGAAGGAGGUAGAUUUUUAUUUAUUAUUAUUAUUUUUUUUACAGCAAAGGAGACAGUUCAAGGGCGUAAAAAAAGAAAAAAAAAAAGCCCGCUACUUACUGCUCCUGAAUAGAGGUCAAAGGAGUGGCCAAAAAGAGAGGUCAGUUUCGGGAGGAGAGGUGUCCUGAUAUUUUUCUGGGUGAAUAUUAAUGGAAUGGUGUGAGGGACAGGGCAUCAGGGAUAUAUGUUUUUUCCUUAGUGAGUAUAUAAUAGAAUGAUGCGAGGCAACAGCUUGUCGGAGAUAUAGAUGGAUAGAUAGAUAGAUAAACUUUUCCCCUAGUGAGUAAUAAUAGAAUGGUGUGAGGGGAAGGGCAUUGGAGAUAUAGAUUGAUCGAUAGAUUAUUUCCCUUAGUAAAUAAUGAUGGAAUGGUGUGAAGGAAAGUGUGUCAGGGAUAUAGAUUAAUAGAUAAAUUUAGGUCGGUAGAGAUAUAGACCAAUAUAAAUUUUUUAAUUAAUAUAAGGGAAUAGCGUAUAUGAAUU